CCGAGUUAGGGUUUUUCCAAAGCCCGACCUCCCAACCCUUUGUCAAAAUUACCACUUGUUGCUUCGGCGGGCCCGUCCCCCGCGGACCGCCGGAGGACCGUUAAACGUCCUCUGGCCCGCGCCCGUCGAUAGCCCCUUUCAAAAUUCUGAAUAAACAUGUCAUAUUCUGAGUCUAUUAUAAAAUAAAGCAA
rnacentral:misc_RNA from 1 species